rnacentral:sRNA from 1 species
ACCCAACAUGGCUUCCAUCAGUGGGCAGCUGGAGGAGCUGUACAUGGCCCACAGCAGAAAGGACAUGAAUGACACCCUGACCUCCGCCCUCAUGGGUGCCUGUGUCACUGCCUCGGCCAUGCCCAGCAGACUCAUGAUGGAGCAUGUUCUCUUAGUCAGCAUCCUUCACCACACAGUUGGAAUCGAGUGAAAAAACAGGGUUCCAGGAACUUGCUGAAGACCACACAGACCCACGUGCAGGUCUUCUCGUCCUUCAGUCCACAGUUACGGAAUUUGGGAUAAAAUGUACCAGAACAGCACAAGGAAAACACUUAGGCCUUGCUUAACUCCACCAGGCCUGGCAGUUCCUGGCCCCAGUUCCACCCCUCAGGGCAGUGUCUGGUUUACCUGCUGGUCCCCAUCAGGACCCGGUGCCCCUCAAACCACUGGCUGAGCCAAGUCGGUGCCCACUUUCUGGAGGCAGUGGUGAGGAAGUUCGAUGCCGUCUAUAAACACGGAAGCGAAGGGAAAGAGUGUGACAACCUGUUCACCAUCAUUGCCCAUUUAUACAACUUCCACGUGGUACAGUCUCUCCUCAUCUUCGACAUUUUGAAAAACCUGAUUGGAACUUUCACCGAAAAAGAUAUUGAACUGAUCUUGUUAAUGCUGAAAAACGUGGGUUUUUCAUUGAGGAAAGAUGAUGCUUUAUCACUUAAGGAACUGAUCA